rnacentral:misc_RNA from 1 species
UUUCCGUAGGUGAACCUGCGGAAGGAUCAUCAUCAAGUUUUAACUAAUAUCAAGGACUCUGUGAGGGGCAACCUUUGCAGAUUCUCCUUGGUAUUUAACCAAUGUGAAUUGGGGGAAGUAUAUUGAAGGACGCAAGUCUUGACUAUAUAUUGAACUCAUUUUUUCUCGAUGCAAAGACCAAUGUGUGUCAAAGCACAUAUGUUUUAGUGUCUUGAGAGAUAUUAACUAUUAAAAGAGUCGGAUAAAAAACAAAAAAUUAAAAACAACUUUUAACAAUGGAUCUCUUGGCUCUU